AAUAUUGCACAAUGGGGGAAACCCUGAUGCAGCGACGCCGCGUGAAGGAUGACGGCCCUACGGGUUGUAAACUUCUUUUAUACAGGAAUAAAGUGAGUCACGUGUGACUUUUUGCAUGUACUGUAUGAAUAAGGAUCGGCUAACUCCGUGCCAGCAGCCGCGGUAAUACGGAGGAUCCAAGCGUUAUCCGGAUUUAUUGGGUUUAAAGGGUGCGCAGGCGGAAGAUUAAGUCGGCGGUGAAAUUUUGCAGCUCAACUGUAAAAGUGCCAUCGAUACUGGUUUUCUUGAGUGUGGAUGAAGUAGGCGGAAUUUGUGGUGUAGCGGUGAAAUGCAUAGAUAUCACGAGGAACUCCGAUUGCGCAGGCAGCUUACUAGGCCAUAACUGACGCUGAGGCACGAAAGUGUGGGGAUCAAAC
rnacentral:rRNA from 1 species